GCGAGGCAGGUGUGUAUCAUAGCUGUGACAGGCUUUGACAGGUAAAGGUGUCACAGUGGUUUAUGUGCCUAGGGGUUUCUCUCCGACCCUCCUCCUCCUCCCCCAUUCCGACAUAAAUGUGAAAUCUAAAGAAAAGACAGGAGCAGCGCCGGUUUGAGAAUGAGAGCGCGGGCGGCUCUGACGCCCCUGCUGACACUGCUUCCAUUACUGACACUCGGGAAGACAGAUGCAGAUGUUGCUGAUCUUCGAAAUGAUACAGAUAGACACUGCAAGCGGUGCGUCGGGAGGCCUGAGCUUGCUGGAGCGAAUCUGCUCUAUUACAGGUUAGCGUAAACUGCUAGAGUAAGUAAAGCGGAUGAGUAAGGAAAGUAGAUGAGUAAGGUCGAGUAAGUUAUAAAGAUGAGUAAAGAAAGUAGACGAGGAAGGUUGAGUACGUAAA